GACGAACGCUGGCGGCGUGCUUAACACAUGCAAGUCGAACGGAAAGGCCCUGCUUUUGUGGGGUGCUCGAGUGGCGAACGGGUGAGUAACACGUGAGUAACCUGCCCUUGACUUUGGGAUAACUUCGGGAAACUGGGGCUAAUACCGGAUAGGAGCUCCUGCUGCACGGUGGGGGUUGGAAAGUUUCGGCGGUUGGGGAUGGACUCGCGGCUUAUCAGCUUGUUGGUGGGGUAGUGGCUUACCAAGGCUUUGACGGGUAGCCGGCCUGGGAGGGUGACCGGGCACAUUGGGACUGGGGUAAGGGCCAGAAUCCUACCGGGGGCAGGAGGGGGGAAUAUUGCACAAUGGGGCGGAGCCUGAGGGAGCAACCCCGCGUGCGGGAAGACGGCCUUUGGGGUGUAAACCGCUUUCGCCUGUGACGAAGCGGGAGUGACGGUAAUGGGUAAAGAAGCACCGGCUAACUACGUG
rnacentral:rRNA from 1 species